ensembl:lncRNA
AGUGAAUUUGUCUACUCUCACCUGUUUCAGAGCAUUCCAUCCUCACCAAGAGCCCCUGUUCCCAUAGAAACAGAGAACAGCUGGACUGUCAGACCAGGUGUGUUUGAUUGACGGGGUCACACUAAGCUGUCCCAGGAGUGGAACUGGAGGUGGAGCCCCACAGUCUUUUGAUCGGUAAAUGGAGUGGUCAGCAAGGGGCAGUGGAGAGACUCACUGCAGAAGAGGAGAGGAAAUUAAAUCAGCGGGAUACACAGGUUUGGGGCAGAUCCAAUGAGUGCCAAGUGCAAACUAAUUUAAUUGUGUGUGGGCUGCUGUCCCUUGAUGCCCGGCCCAGACCAACCACCCCAUGACCUUCACGACCCUACAGCCUGCCAUAGGGAGUCAACAGUCUGCUGCAGGAGGCGGCUGGGAACACACUUGAGCUCCCUCUGGAGGCCGGGACCAGAAUGCUUCGAGGAUUCACACAGCUCCAGUAGGACAUGUGACAUGUUGAAUUGCAUCACUUUCCGCCAGCUUUCCCUUUAUAUACAGCAAAAAGCAGCUGGUGACUUUGCUAUGUGUUCCUAUAACAGAGACUGUUAAGUCACCAUCCGCCCCCUCCUUUUCUCACUCACGUUGGGACAAGUGACAGAGAAAGCAAGUGGAAGAUCAGAAUAAAAUAAUCUGCAUAUAAAACUGUUAAUUGAAA